UGAGAAUGAACUCCCGAGUACACUGCUUGCAGCCCGUGACUGGAAUGUUAAUUUCGUCCUGCGUCCCCGGCUGGCUCCCUUCAACGGUACUGGGCUCUCGCAUUUCUGACAUUUUUCGUUUUGUAAAAAUGAAUACCUGCCUUAGAAAGCCUGAUGAACGCAGAGAUACUUUACAUGCAAACACACACACACACACACACACACACACACACACACACACACACAAAUGCUGUUCCCAUUUCCCCCUGUCUUUCAUCUGACAAAGCGGGUAGUGACUGCGAGCUCAGAAUUGGCUGGCGGAGGUGUCUGCUGGUGUGUGGGCUCCAUUUCUGGGGCUUUAUCAAGCCCUGUCUCCGAUUUUCCCAUUUCAGACAAUCUUCCUUUGAAGACGUGGAUGACAUAGUAAAACCGAUUGCACUUGAGAGCCGAUUCCAUGACUAUUUUGCUGCAACAGCGCGAAUGUCAUCACACUUUCUUAUGCAAAGAUUGUGUCCAGAUCCAUGAAAUCAGCCAUGGCUUUGUUCAAAAUAUAGUAUCAGGAAUGCAUAUGUUGAGGAGCAAGAAUUCUCUGUCCCCUUUCAAGUCCUGGGGGGACUACGAAUCAAAUUGACAAGAGACAGGUAAAUGGGAGAAAAUCAAAUUUAAUUUUGUAUGUAGAAGGAAUCCACACAGAUAGAGACAUUCCUAGGGUAGGAAUUCAGGCAAAAUUAAGGAUGCAUGUCAUCCUGAAAUAAGGAGAAGGAAGUAAAGAUCUGGGACUUCUACAGGAAAGGAAUGCAGUUCACAGGAAGAUGAAAAAGAGCAAAUGUUUGGUAAUCAAGUGUUUGCUGGGCCCUCAGAAACAAUGGGACCUAAAAGACUUUUGAUCAAACAGGUCUUGCUGGCUUCUUACCUGUCUACCCACCUAGUACAUAGUAUAGUGUGGUUCUCUGGUGCUAGCUCCCUGCCUGGAGCAGGUCCUUUAUCUAAAGUCUUUUAGGCAGUACCGAGGGAGGUAAAGAUCUUUUCCUGAAUCUGCCGGGUUUUGAUUGCUUUUUCACUUAAAAUCAUCUCCAUGCCGAAGUGGCUGGUCUUGGGGUGGCCUGCCCUUCGCCCCAACACAGACACAGGAGCUCAAACUAAAAACAUUAAAGCCAGUGCCAUCAUGAGUCAAAGCAUUCAUAUGAGCAGUUACCUGAAAUUAAAUAGAAAAAUCUUGCUAAGACCUGACCUCUCUGGCUCCUCUUUCAUCAACGGCACCAUCUGACCUCUGGUUCUUUUCUUCUUCUCCUGCCUAGGAGUCACCAGUCAGAGCAGCAAGUUUGGGAUGAUCAGACAAGGGAGUGCACUUAGAGAGCAAGGUGAAGAAGGUGACUUGGACAGAGAACGGGGACCUCUAACCUCGUUACAUUUUACUAAUCUACUACCUCAGACCAAAUUCUGCUUCAGAUUCUUUAACUGAAACUCCCAAACACCUGUUUUCCUUUUACUGUAAAUUCCUCACAAAUUUAUUAUCUUUUUGUCUAAAAUGUAUAAAAACUGCCUGCCUUGCCCAUUUCUUUGGGUCUUAAUUUCAUUACUGGGCCUCCAUGUGCACAUAGUAAAACUUUGGAGAGUAAAACUCCUGUCAAUCUGUCUUAGAAAUUUCUCUCUCACAGUUUGAAGGCUGGCAGUCCAUGAUCAAUGUGUUGGCAGAUUCAAUGUCUGGUGAGAUCCCCCUUCCUGUUUCAUAGACAGUAGUCUCUCUGCUCUAACCUCACAUGGUGGCAGGGGCAAAGGAGCUCGCUAAUCCUAUUCAGGAGGGCUCCCCUCUUAUGACCUAAUCACAUCCAAAGGCCUGAGCUCCAAGCAUCACUUUGGGGAUUAGGUUUCAACAUAUGCAUUUUGGCAGGACACAGAUAUUCAGUCCAAGACACUAUUUAUCAACUGUCCAUCUGAUAUAUUGCCUUCUUGUCCUACCUUUUACAGGACAGUGAUAUAAAAGAUUUGUUGUAGGAGUUUCUCUCAACUGGAAUUUCUUCAUGGAGCUAGAAGCUACCACUCAUGUAGUGGCUACAACAUGGCUACAACAUGUGGCAACUCAUCGGUUCUUUGAGACUCUUUAAGCAGGUUCAUUGGAAAUAUAAAAGAACCCAUGUAGCUAAUUCACGUACCAAGAAAAAAAAAGACCUACAUACACAAGAUAAAACUAUGUUAGUAAUUGUAGAAAUGCAAUUUUUCAUUUUUUUAUCAAGUUGACAGAUGUUUUUUCAGUGAUAAUUUGGAAUCUUGAUGAACAUGCAAUAAAAUAGAUCCUCCCAGUGACUGCUGGAGGGAGAAAAGAACUAACUUUAAUAUCCAUUGAUAUUAAAUUGUUAUAAGGAAAUAAUCAUAGAUGUAAACUAUAAUUUAUAUAUAGUAAUAUACACUA
rnacentral:lncRNA from 1 species